UUUAACGCGAAAGGCCUUACCUAGUCUUGACAUCCAGAGAACUUUCCAGAGAUGGAUUGGUGCCUUCGGGAACUCUGACACAGGUGCUGCAUGGCUGUCGUCAGCUCGUGUCGUGAAAUGUUGGGUUAAGUCCCGCAACGAGCGCAACCCUUGUCCUUAGUUGCCAGCACUUCGGCUGGGCACUCUAAGGAGACUGCCAGUGACAAACCGGAGGAAGGUGGGGAUGACGUCAAGUCAUCAUGGCCCUUACGACUAGGGCUACACACGUGCUACAAUGGUGCGUACAAAGAGAAGCCACGUCGCGAGAUCGAGCUGACCUCAUAAAACGGAUCGUAGUCCGGAUUGGCAGUCUGCAACUCGACUGCAUGAAGUCGGAAUCGCUAGUAAUCGGGAUCAGAAUCCCC
rnacentral:rRNA from 1 species